UCGAGAAUCUUUCGCAAUGGGCGCAAGCCUGACGAAGCGACGCCGUGUGAGCGAAGAAGGCCUUCGGGUUGUAAAGCUCUUUCGCUUGAGAACAAGAAAGCAGCAUUAAUACUGCUGCGAUUUGAUGGUAUCAGGUAAAGAAGCACCGGCUAACUCCGUGCCAGCAGCUGCGGUAAUACGGAGGGUGCAAGCAUUGAUCGGAAUUACUGGGCGUAAAGGGCGCGUAGGCGGCCGAGCAAGUCAGAUGUGAAAUUCCAUGGCUCAACUAUGGAGCUGCAUUUGAAACUGCUUAGCUAGAGGAUAGUUAGGGAAAACGGAAUUCCACGUGUAGCGGUGAAAUGCGUAGAUAUGUGGAAGAACACCGGUGGUGAAGACGGUUUUCUGGGCUAUACCUGACGCUGAGGCGCGAAAGCUAGGGGAGCAAACA
rnacentral:rRNA from 1 species